UCCCCCAUAAGAGUGGGUCAUUGUCACAACCAUAAAGUUGAGAAGCUCUGACAGGAGCUUUCCAGAUCCUCCUCCUUGAGUUUCUUUGUUUUGGUUAAGUUCCUCAUCUCGUUAGUCUAUCUCAGCUGUCAUGCAGUUGGACUG